UAGGUGAACCUGCGGAAGGAUCAUUAUUGAAUAUUCUUGAUGGGUUGUAGCUGGCUCUUCGGGGCAUGUGCACGCUUGUCUUGACUUUAUUCGUCCACCUGUGCACCUUUUGUAGUCUUGUGGGUUGAGAGCAGUCAACUAUCGGACAGCUAUUACAGCCGCUCCGGAUGUGAGGAAUGCUGAGUGCGAAAGCAUACAGCUCUUCUCUACGAUUGCAAUACCUCUCCCUCGGGUACUAUGUAUUCAUAUACCACUUGUAUGUUGUCGAAUGUGAUCAAUGGGCUUAUAUGCCUAUAAUAAUCAUAUACAACUUUCAGCAACGGAUCUCUUGGCUCUCGCAUCGAUGAAGAACGCAGCGAAAUGCGAUAAGUAAUGUGAAUUGCAGAAUUCAGUGAAUCAUCGAAUCUUUGAACGCACCUUGCGCUCCUUGGUAUUCCGAGGAGCAUGCCUGUUUGAGUGUCAUUAAAUUCUCAACCCUCCAGCUUUUGCGAGUUGUGAUGGGCUUGGAUAUGGGGGUUUGCGGGCCUUUAUUAAGAGGUCGGCUCUCCUGAAAUACAUUAGCGGAACCGUUUGCAGUCCCGUCACUAGUGUGAUAAUUAUCUACACUGUGAUGAUUGCUCUCUGACUAGUUCAGCUGCUAAUAGUCCCUUGUUGGACAACAUUAAUGAACUUCUUGACCUCAAAUCAGGUAGGACUACCCGCUGAACUUAAGCAUAU
rnacentral:rRNA from 1 species